rnacentral:rRNA from 1 species
AUGAACGUUGGCGGCGUGGAUUAGGCAUGCGAGUCGAGCGAGAACCGUAGCAAUACGGGGACAGCGGCGAAAGGGAGAGUAAUGCGUGGGUACCUACCCUCGGAUUCAGGAUAGCCAUGGGAAACUAUGGGUAAUACUGAAUAACGUCUUCGGACCAAAGGUGUGAUUCCGUCCGAGGAGGGGCCCGCGUCCUAUUAGCUAGUUGGUGGGGUAACGGCUCACCAAGGCUGAGAUGGGUAUGGGAUGUGAGAGCAUGAUCCCACUCAUUGGGACUGAGACACUGCCCAGACACCUACGGGUGGCUGCAGUCGAGAAUCUUCGGCAAUGGGGGAAACCCUGACCGAGCGACGCCGCGUGUGAGAUGAAGGCCUUCGGGUUGUAAAUCACUGUCAGAGGGGAGGAAAUGUCGGUGGGUUCUCCCACCGAUUUGACCUAUCCUCAGAGGAAGGACGGGCUAAGUUCGU